UAGAUACCCUAUUAUAUUUAGUAUCAAAACUUUAGGUAGUAGUUGUUAUAAUCUUGAAACCUAAAGAAUUUGGCGGUAUUUAUUUAAAUCAGAGGACCCUGCUAAGUAAACGAUAAUCCACGUUGGAUCUUACUUAAAAAAUGCUUGUAUACCGUCAUCUCUAUACUUUUUUAGAAAAAAUGUGUUCAAUUUGGUUAAAAAAAAUUAAGUUAGAUCUAGGUGCAGCUUUUUUAAGUCCAUGGUGGGGUACAAUUUUUAUUUUAAUAGAUAAAUCUUUUGAAAUAGGAUUGGAAAUAGGAUUUGAAAGUAAUCCAAGUUUAAUAAGCUAGGAUGAGUAGCUAACUAAAUAUGUACACAUCGCCCG
rnacentral:rRNA from 1 species